rnacentral:rRNA from 1 species
GACGAACGCUGGCGGCGUGCUUAACACAUGCAAGUCGAACGAUGAAAGUGGAGCUUGCUCCGCUGAAUUAGUGGCGAACGGGUGAGUAACACGUGGGCAACCUGCCCCAGACUCUGGGAUAACUCCUCGAAAGAGGUGCUAAUACCGGAUACGAACUCCUUGGGCAUCCUUGGAGUUGGAAAGUUUUUCGGUCUGGGAUGGGCCCGCGGCCUAUCAGCUUGUUGGUGGGGUAGUGGCCCACCAAGGCGACGACGGGUAGCCGGCCUGAGAGGGCGACCGGCCACACUGGGACUGAGACACGGCCCAGACUCCUACGGGAGGCAGCAGUGGGGAAUAUUGCUCAAUGGGCGAAAGCCUGACGCAGCGACGCCGCGUGAGGGAUGACGGCCUUCGGGUUGUAAACCUCUUUCAGCAGGGAAGAAGCGAAAGUGACGGUACCUGCAGAAGAAGCACCGGCUAACUACGUGCCAGCCGCCGCAGUAA